rnacentral:rRNA from 1 species
UACGUAGGGUGCAAGCGUUGUCCGGAAUUAUUGGGCGUAAAGAGCUCGUAGGCGGUUUGUCGCGUCUGCUGUGAAAACUCGGGGCUUAACCCCGGGCCUGCAGUGGGUACGGGCAGACUAGAGUGCGGUAGGGGAGACUGGAAUUCCUGGUGUAGCGGUGAAAUGCGCAGAUAUCGGGAGGAACACCGAUGGCGAAGGCGGGUCUCUGGGCCGAUACUGACGCUGAGGAGCGAAAGCGUGGGGAGCGAACAGG